rnacentral:misc_RNA from 1 species
GAUGAAGAACGCAGCGAAAUGCGAUAAGUAAUGUGAAUUGCAGAAUUCAGUGAAUCAUCGAAUCUUUGAACGCACAUUGCGCCCCGUAGUAUUCUGCCGGGCAUGCCUGUUCGAGCGUCAUUUCAACCAUCAAGCCCCAGCGCUUGUGUUGGGGGCCUGCGGCUGCCGCAGCCCCCUAAAAGCAGUGGCGGGCUCGCUAUCACACCGAGUGCAGUAGUUCAUCUUCUCUCCGGUCUUGUGAGGCGGGUUCCGGCCGUGAAACACCCCACUACAUUCAAGGUUGACCUCGGAUCAGGUAGGAAUACCCGCUGAACUUAAGCAUAUCAAUAAGCGGAGGA